rnacentral:tRNA from 1 species
GGACCUGUAGCUCAGUUGGAUAGAGCACUUGCCUCCUAAGCAAGGGGUCGCAGGUGAGUUUCUCUGCGAAUUCGAGUCCUGCCAGGUCCG